rnacentral:lncRNA from 1 species
GAAGCUUAUGAUAUGCUCUAAGUAUGUCUAGAAAGCAUCAAGCAUCAAGUAUGCUCUUAAGGAACUUGAUUGAAGACAUUUUCAUAGAAACGCGAUCAAUUAAAAUCACAGCAGGGAUUGCACAAAACAUGGACAUAAAGAAAAUCUAUGAAAGUCCAAGUAUAUAGAAGGAAAUGUCCCGAUCAUCUAUCAUGAGACAUCGAAGUCCUAAUUUUCUCACAAAAAUCUAUAUGAAAAACAGAAACGAAACAGGGCAAAAAUCCAACAUUACAGAUUGCAGCAACUCAAACGUGACUUUAUGGAAGCCAUUGACCUUGCUAACGAUGAUCACUUGAUUCAAGCUAUACCUUGUUAGAAAUUUUAUGAAAUUUCCAAUGACUCUCAUGAAAGAUUCAACUCCAGCAAAGCAUGUUCACUAACUCAAAUUUGAGCACACGCAUCAGGUCUCAAACUUGACAGAUUCUGGACUGAAAUUUGGACAUGUGAAAACCAUAUCAAAUAAGAUUCAAUCAGGGCAUUCUACAGCUCAUUGGAAAGAUAUUCGAACCAUCUUCGACUUUCAUGAAGACUUCAAACACAGAAAACCACAACAGCCAGUUCAUAUCAAGUUAUUUGCACAGAAGGUCAGAUCAGCGAAAGAAACAGAAUAUCAGAGCAUAAUCAACAGAAUUUGUAGGUGGUUUUCAGCAACCAAACGACAUCUUUUAUGGGCAUGUGACAUAUCAAAUCGAAGCUUGAGAAGUCUAUUUUUUUAUGUCUAGAAGGGCUCGAGGUCAAAAAACCUCAUCUAGCACCUCCUUUCAGCCGAAACAGUGAGUCACUCAUCCGAAAUCGAAAAUCACAGAAUCUCAGCAUCCAACUGCAAUCAAUUCCAUAUCAUACAAACAUUAAUUUUAAUUAGAUUUGCAAUGCAUCCUGGCCCCGAACCUUCGUUGUCGAUCAUGAAUCACGACAUGAGAAGCUCUCGCCUCAUCGGAUGAUAUUAAAUGGAGUUUCAUCGCACCCACCUUGGUCCGUAAUGAAUCGGCCAAGAACUCACCUUCGGAGAUGUCCACCAUUCAGUGACAAUGAAGUGGUUAUUUAACAAAAAAAACAUGUACUGAAAUCAGUGGAGGAUCUGAAUCUAAUAACACUCCUUACCGAAAUAGAAAGGAGGAAACCAAACACUUAGCUUCGAUUUUGUUAUUGGAACUCCUGGAAAAUGAAGAACGCUGGCCUUUGAUUCUGUGAUCCUCGAACUCAUCGAAUGAACGCCUCGGCUGCCGAUUUGAAGAUGGUGUACGCUUCUUUUGAGUUGCAAUCUAGAAGUUUUUCUCAGCUUCUUCUUCAACAAAAUCAGUGAAAUUAAAUGUCAACAGAAUCUGCUGAAAUCAGAAUCAUUGCGCAACAAAUGUACAAGUAAAGAUUGAGAAGACUCAGCUCAAUCUUUAUU